GGGUCAGUAGGUUGGUCGUGUCACCGGUACGUACUGGUCUCGCUGAUUCCUCCUUCCUGAAGAACCGUAAUGCCAUUAAUUUGGUGUUGCGGGGAAACAGGACUGUUACUUUGAAAAAAUUAGAGUGUUUAAAGCAAGCUAACGCUUGAAUACAUUAGCAUGGAAUAAUGAAAUAGGACGAUCGAUCCUAUUUUGUUGGUUUCUAGGAUUGACGUA
rnacentral:rRNA from 1 species